CGGGACGGGUGAGUAAUGUCUGGGAAACUGCCUGAUGGAGGGGGAUAACUACUGAAACGGUAGCUAAUACCGCAUAACGUCGCAAGACCAAAGAGGGGGACCUUCGGGCCUCUUGCCAUCGGAUGUGCCCAGAUGGGAUUAGCUAGUAGGUGGGGUAACGGCUCACCUAGGCGACGAUCCCUAGCUGGUCUGAGAGGAUGACCAGCCACACUGGAACUGAGACACGGUCCAG
rnacentral:rRNA from 1 species